UAGCGUAGGGGGCAAGCGUUGUCCGGAUUUAUUGGGCGUAAAAGGAGCGUGUAGGCGGGCCAGGUAGGUCCGCUGUGAAAACUCGAGGCUUAACCUCGAGCUGGUCGGUGGAAACCAUCUGGCUAGAGUCCGGAAAGAGGAGAAGCGGAAUUCCCGGUGUACGCGGUGAAAUGCGCAGAUAUCGGGAAGAACACCCGUGGCGAAGGCGGUUCUCUGGGACGGUACUGACGCUGAGACGCGAAAGCGUGGGGAGCGAACAGGG
rnacentral:rRNA from 1 species